GUGACCCCCAGUUUUAGAAACAUUGAAGAUGACAUCAGAUCUUACUUCAUCAGCUAGUUGAUAAAGCUCCUGAGUCAACGACAUCCCGAUCACAGAAAGAAAAAAGAACCAAUGGAAAGUGGAAGCGUGUGGAGAAUUCGGUAGAUUGGCGAUAGAAUUGAGAAGCAAUGACGAGUGAGGGAGACAAAUUGAAGCCGAAUUCGUUGGGUGUCUUGUCUAGCUUUUAGAGUACGGUCUUUACAUUCUCUCUUUAACUGUAAAAUAAGCAGCGCCAGUGCUCCACUCUGUAAAUCGGACAUCUUUUCUUAUUGGUCCACGUGGACAGAAAUCCCAAAAUGGAUAUGUGGAUAGGGAGAACAUACAUCCACCAAUGUAAAUAAUUUCUAGCUUCUCGCCUUAUUUUUUACACACAAUUGUAAAAUUAGAAAAAAAAAAUCUAAUUUUUACUCAAAA